UGGUCAAGUUAUUAAGGGUGCAGGGCGGAUGCCUUGGCACUAGGAGCCGAUGAAGGACGUGAUAAGCUGCGAUAAGCUUCGGGGAGUUGCACGUAAACUUUGAUCCGAAGAUUUCCGAAUGAGGAAACUCACUUAGAGUAAUGUCUAAGUAUCAUUAAGUGAAUACAUAGCUUAAUGAGGGGAACUCAGGGAACUGAAACAUCUAAGUACCUGAAGGAAGAGAAAGAAAUUCGAUUCCGUAAGUAGCGGCGAGCGAACGCGGAUUAGCCCAAACCAAUAAAGUUUUCUUUAUUGG
rnacentral:rRNA from 1 species